UGGGGAAUUUUGCGCAAUGGGGGCAACCCUGACGCAGCGACGCCGCGUGGGUGAUGAAGGCCUUCGGGUUGUAAAGCCCUGUCUGGGGGGAAGAUAGUGACGGUACCCCCGGAGGAAGCCCCGGCUAACUACGUGCCAGCAGCCGCGGUAAUACGUAGGGGGCGAGCGUUGUCCGGAAUUAUUGGGCGUAAAGGGCGUGUAGGCGGCCUGGCAAGUCGGCUGUGAAAUCCCCCGGCUCAACCGGGGAGUGGCAGUCGAAACUGUUGGGCUUGAGUGCAGGAGAGGAGGGUGGAAUUCCUGGUGUAGCGGUGAAAUGCGUAGAUAUCAGGAGGAACACCGGUGGCGAAGGCGACCUUCUGGCCUGUUACUGACGCUGAGGCGCGAAAGCCAGGGGAGCGAACA
rnacentral:rRNA from 1 species